GAAACUCGUACGAUCACCGAAAUUAAGCAACGCCGUGUCGUCUCAGUACUUAGAUGGGUGACCGCUUGUGAAUAUCAGGUGCUGUAAG